rnacentral:rRNA from 1 species
AACGAACGCUGGCGGCAUGCCUAACACAUGCAAGUCGAACGAGACCUUCGGGUCUAGUGGCGCACGGGUGCGUAACGCGUGGGAACCUGCCCUUAGGUUCGGCAUAACUCCCCGAAAGGGGUGCUAAUACCGGAUAAUGUCUUCGGACCAAAGAUUUAUUGCCUUUGGAUGGGCCCGCGUUGGAUUAGCUAGUUGGUAGGGUAAAAGCCUACCAAGGCGACGAUCCAUAGCUGGGCUGAGAGGAUGAUCAGCCACACUGGGACUGAGACACGGCCCAGACUCCUACGCGAGGCAGCAGUGGGGAAUAUUGGACAAUGGGCGAAAGCCUGAUCCAGCAAUGCCGCGUGAGUGAUGAAGGCCUUAGGGUUGUAAAGCUCUUUUACCCGGGAUGAUAAUGACAGUACCGGGAGAAUAAGCUCCGGCUAACUCCGUG